CAAGUCGAACGGCAGCACGAGAGCUUGCUCUUGGUGGCGAGUGGCGAACGGGUGAGUAAUAUAUCGGAACGUAUCCAAUAAUGGGGGAUAACUAAUCGAAAGGUUAGCUAAUACCGCAUACGCCCUACGGGGGAAAGCAGGGGAUCUUCGGACCUUGCGUUAAUGGAGCGGCUGAUAUCUGAUUAGCUAGUAGGUGAGGUAAAGGCUCACCUAGGCUUCGAUCAGUAGCUGGCCUGAGAGGACGACCAGCCACACUGGAACUGAGACACGGUCCAGACUCCUACGGGAGGCAGCAGUGGGGAAUUUUGGACAAUGGGCGCAAGCCUGAUCCAGCCAUUCCGCGUGAGUGAAGAAGGCCUUCGGGUUGUAAAGCUCUUUCGCAAGGGAAGAAACGAUACCGACGAAUAAUCGGUGUUAAUGACGGUACCUUGAUAAGAAGCACCGGCUAACUACGUGCCAGCAGCCGCGGUAAUACGUAGGGUGCGAGCGUUAAUCGGAAUUACUGGGCGUAAGGCGUGCGCAGGCGGUUUUGUAAGUCAGAUGUGAAAUCCCCGGGCUCAACCUGGGAACUGCGUUUGAAACUACAAGGCUAGAGUAUGGUAGAGGGGGGUAGAAUUCCACGUGUAGCAGUGAAAUGCGUAGAGAUGUGGAGGAAUACCAAUGGCGAAGGCAGCCCCCUGGACUAAUACUGACGCUCAUGCACGAAAGCGUGGGGAGCAAACAGGAUUAGAUACCCUGGUAGUCCACGCCCUAAACGAUGUCUACUAGUUGUUGGGAGAGUAAAAUCUCUUAGUAACGCAGCUAACGCGUGAAGUAGACCGCCUGGGGAGUACGGUCGCAAGAUUAAAACUCAAAGGAAUUGACGG
rnacentral:rRNA from 1 species